AACCGUUAUAACCGGCGAUACCCGAAUGGGGAAACCCAGUGUGAUUCGUCACACUAUCAUUAACUGAAUCCAUAGGUUAAUGAGGCGAACCGGGGGAACUGAAACAUCUAAGUACCCCGAGGAAAAGAAAUCAACCGAGAUUCCCCCAGUAGCGGCGAGCGAACGGGGAGGAGCCCAGAGCCUGAAUCAGCAUGUGUGUUAGUGGAAGCGUCUGGAAAGGCGCGCGAUACAGGGUGACAGCCCCGUACACAAAAGCGCAUGUGCUGUGAGCUCGAUGAGUAGGGCGGGACACGUGGUAUCCUGUCUGAAUAUGGGGGGACCAUCCUCCAAGGCUAAAUACUCCUGACUGACCGAUAGUGAACCAGUACCGUGAGGGAAAGGCGAAAAGAACCCCGGCGAGGGGAGUGAAAAAGAACCUGAAACCGUGUACGUACAAGCAGUGGGAGCACCCUUUGGGUGUGACUGCGUACCUUUUGUAUAAUG
rnacentral:rRNA from 1 species